rnacentral:rRNA from 1 species
UUGCCUACGGGAGGCUGCAGUGGGGAAUAUUGGACAAUGGGCGCAAGCCUGAUCCAGCCAUGCCGCGUGUGUGAAGAAGGCCUUUUGGUUGUAAAGCACUUUAAGCGAGGAGGAGGCUACUUGGAUUAAUACUCUAGGAUAGUGGACGUUACUCGCAGAAUAAGCACCGGCUAACUCUGUGCCAGCAGCCGCGGUAAUACAGAGGGUGCGAGCGUUAAUCGGAUUUACUGGGCGUAAAGCGUGCGUAGGCGGCUGCUUAAGUCGGAUGUGAAAUCCCUGAGCUUAACUUAGGAAUUGCAUUCGAUACUGGGAAGCUAGAGUAUGGGAGAGGAUGGUAGAAUUCCAGGUGUAGCGGUGAAAUGCGUAGAGAUCUGGAGGAAUACCGAUGGCGAAGGCAGCCAUCUGGCCUAAUACUGACGCUGAGGUACGAAAGCAUGGGGAGCAAACAGGAUUAGAUACCCUGGUAGUCGU